GCCUGGGGACGACCUCAAGCGACUGACUAUCCAGCGGGACGACCCGC
rnacentral:ncRNA from 1 species